rnacentral:rRNA from 1 species
UACGAAGGGGGCUAGCGUUGCUCGGAAUCACUGGGCGUAAAGGGUGCGUAGGCGGGGUUUUAAGUCAGGGGUGAAAUCCUGGAGCUCAACUCCAGAACUGCCUUUGAUACUGUAGAUCUUGAGUCCGGGAGAGGUGAGUGGAACUGCGAGUGUAGAGGUGAAAUUCGUAGAUAUUCGCAAGAACACCAGUGGCGAAGGCGGCUCACUGGCCCGGUACUGACGCUGAGGCACGAAAGCGUGGGGAGCAAACAGG